rnacentral:rRNA from 1 species
CUACGGGUCGCUCCAGUGAGGAAUAUUGCACAAUGGGGGGAACCCUGAUGCAGCAACGCCGCGUGGAGGAUGACGCAUUUCGGUGUGUAAACUCCUUUUAUAUGUCAAGAAAAUGACGGUAGCAUAUGAAUAAGCACCGGCUAACUCCGUGCCAGCAGCCGCGGUAAUACGGAGGGUGCAAGCGUUACUCGGAAUCACUGGGCGUAAAGGACGCGUAGGCGGGUUGGAAAGUCAGGUGUGAAAUCCUACAGCUUAACUGUGGAACUGCACUUGAAACUUCUAAUCUAGAGCAUGGGAGGGGGAGAUGGAAUUAGUGGUGUAGGGGUAAAAUCCGUAGAUAUCACUAGGAAUACCUAAAGCGAAGGCGAUCUCCUGGAACAUUACUGACGCUAAGGCGUGAAAGCGUGGGGAGCAAACAGGAUUAGAUACCCGAGUAGUC